CGGAGCGAAAGCGACGUUCAACCGCAAAACAAGCAGAGGGGGCUUAGUGGUGGGGUGACUGCGUACCUUUUGUAUAAUGGGUCAGCGACUUAUAUUCUGUAGCAAGGUUAACCGAAUAGGGGAGCCGUAGGGAAACCGAGUCUUAACCGGGCGUUAAGUUGCAGGGUAUAGACCCGAAACCCGGUGAUCUAGCCAUGGGCAGGUUGAAGGUUGGGUAACACUAACUGGAGGACCGAACCGAC
rnacentral:rRNA from 1 species